rnacentral:rRNA from 1 species
CCUACGGGUGGCAGCAGUGGGGAAUAUUGCACAAUGGGGGAAACCCUGAUGCAGCGACGCCGCGUGAGUGAUGACGUAUUUCGGUAUGUAAAGCUCUAUCAGCAGGGACGAAAUACUGACUUUACGAUCAGCAGACGGUACCUGACUAAGACGCCCCGGCCAACUACGUGCCAGCAGCCGCGGUAUUACGUAGGGGGCCAGCGUUAUCCGGAUUUACUGGGUGUAAAGGGAGCGUAGACGGCAGUGCAAGUCUGAAGUGAAAUCCCAGGGCUUAACCAGGGAACUGCAUUGGAAACUGUGCAGCUGGAGUGCAGGAGAGGAGAGCGGAAUUCCUAGUGUAGCGGUGAAAUGCGUAGAGAUUAGGAGGAACACCAGUGGCGAAGGCGGCUUACUGGACUGUAACUGACGUUGAGGCUCGAAAGCGUGGGGAGCAAACAGGAUUAGAUACCCCAGUAGUC